AAUAUCGUAGCUGCUACGUAGCUGCUAUCAAUAUCUAUGUAGCAACUGGUCUAUAGCUACACGUUCAAUAGUCAAAAUCUACGUAGCACUACGUAGUUGCUACGAUAUUAAACUCAACACAGGACUCCUAAGUGCAUUUGUGGAUGAUUUAAUUUCCUCAUGAACGACCAAAAGCCGAAUCUUUGAAGGCCAAUAGUUUAUAAGAACUGCAAUAGCUGAUUAAAAGAUAAAGAUGAUUGUUCAGAAUUGUACGUUUAAUAAUUUCAUCUGCCGACAUGACUGCAGAUAAAAAAAAAAGUUGCGAAAUAAAAUGUAAAUUAAAAAUAAAUAUGAGGGAA
rnacentral:lncRNA from 1 species